UACGUAGGCAGCAAGCGUUGUUCGGAGUUACUGGGCGUAAAGAGUGCGUAGGCGGUCCUGUAAGUUUGGUGUGAAAUCUCCCGGCUCAACUGGGAGGGUGCGCCGAAGACUGCAGGGCUUGAGUAUGGGAGAGGUAAGCGGAAUUCCUGGUGUAGCGGUGAAAUGCGUAGAUAUCUGGAGGAACACCGGUGGCGAAGGCGGCAUCCUGGACCGAUACUGACGCUGAGGAGCGAAAGCCAGGGGAGCAAAGCGGG
rnacentral:rRNA from 1 species